ACUUUGAUGAAUUCAAGUGUGCAUUUUAUACAAAGGAUCAAGUGGACGAAAUCAAAGAGGAGUGGUGUCAAUUCAUGAUAAAGCUGUGUAAUUAAUGUGUACAUUUGUAGUAUAUGUUAUGACUUGUAAAUGUGUACAUAAAUUUGUAUAUAUUUUGAUACAUUUAAGGCAAAAUUGGUUUGAAUUGGUAUAUAUAUAUUUGUUA
rnacentral:lncRNA from 1 species